ACGAACGCUGGCGGCGUGCUUAACACAUGCAAGUCGAACGAAGAGCGCUGGAAGCUUGCUUCUAUCAAUCUUAGUGGCGAACGGGUGAGUAACGCGUAAUCAACCUGCCCUUCAGAGGGGGACAACAGUUGGAAACGACUGCUAAUACCGCAUACGAUCCAAUCUCGGCAUCGGGACUGGAUGAAAGGUGGCCUCUAUUUAUAAGCUAUCACUGAAGGAGGGGAUUGCGUCUGAUUAGCUAGUUGGAGGGGUAACGGCCCACCAAGGCGAUGAUCAGUAGCCGGUCUGAGAGGAUGAACGGCCACAUUGGGACUGAGACACGGCCCAGACUCCUACGGGAGGCAGCAGUGGGGAAUCUUCCGCAAUGGACGAAAGUCUGACGGAGCAACGCCGCGGGAGUGAUGACGGCCUUCGGGUUGUAAAGCUCUGUUAAUCGGGACGAAUGGUUCUUGUGCGAAUAGUGCGAGGAUUUGACGGUACCGGAAUAGAAAGCCACGGCUAACUACGUG
rnacentral:rRNA from 1 species